GACGAACGCUGGCGGCGUGCUUAACACAUGCAAGUCGAGCGGUAAGGCCCUUUCGGGGGUACACGAGCGGCGAACGGGUGAGUAACACGUGGGUGACCUGCCCUCAGCUCUGGGAUAAGCCUGGGAAACCGGGUCUAAUACUGGAUAUGACUCCAUGACGCAUGUUGUGGGGUGGAAAGCCUUGUGCGGCUGAGGAUGGGCCCGCGGCCUAUCAGCUUGUUGGUGGGGUGAUGGCCUACCAAGGCGACGACGGGUAGCCGGCCUGAGAGGGCGACCGGCCACACUGGGACUGAGACACGGCCCAGACUCCUACGGGAGGCAGCAGUGGGGAAUCUUGCGCAAUGGGCGAAAGCCUGACGCAGCGACGCCGCGUGAGGGAUGACGGCCUCGUGUAA
rnacentral:rRNA from 1 species